UACAGAGGUGGCAAGCGUUGUUCGGAAUUACUGGGCGUAAAGGGCGCGUAGGCGGCCUGUCAAGUCCCGUGUGAAAGCCCCCGGCUCAACCGGGGAACGGCGCGGGAAACUAGCAGGCUUGAGUUCGGGAGAGGGAAGCGGAAUUCCGGGUGUAGCGGUGAAAUGCGCAGAUAUCCGGAGGAACACCGGUGGCGAAGGCGGCUUCCUGGACCGACACUGACGCUGAGGCGCGAAAGCCAGGGGAGCAAACGGG
rnacentral:rRNA from 1 species